UACGUAGGGAGCAAGCGUUGUCCGGAAUCAUUGGGCGUAAAGCGCGCGUAGGUGGCUCUAUAAGUCCGUUGUGAAAGUCAAAGGCUCAACCUUUGAAAGCCGAUGGAUACUGUAGAGCUAGAGUACGGAAGAGGCGAGUGGAAUUCCUGGUGUAGCGGUGGAAUGCGCAGAUAUCAGGAGGAACACCAAUAGCGAAGGCAGCUCGCUGGGACGUUACUGACACUAAGGCGCGAAAGCGUGGGUAGCAAACAGG
rnacentral:rRNA from 1 species